rnacentral:rRNA from 1 species
UCACUUUCAACAACGGAUCUCUUGGCUCUCGCAUCGAUGAAGAACGUAGCGAAGUGCGAUAAGUAAUGUGAAUUGCAGAAUUCCGUGAAUCAUCGAAUCUUUGAACGCAAAUUGCACUUUCUGCGGAGAGGAGGCCUGAUGCCUGUUUGAGGGCAGU